AUAAAAAUAAAGUCUAAACCUUUAAAAGUGCUAUUCAUUUAAAAACCUGUGAACUUUCUACGUGACAUACGCGUAGAUCGUUUGAAUUAUACUCACAGAGCAUGAAACAUACGAAUGAUGUUAGAUUACCAUUACACAUUUUCAAGGGUGAAAAAUUUGAACGUCGAAAGAAAAUCGAUUGGACGAGUCAGCAGGUGUGCGGGUACCCGAGAUUUCCGAGUCGGGUCGAAAAAAGUUGUGUGGGAUUGGGUGAGCUCACGAUUUGAGAGCUUUUUCUGGGGAAGCCUGAUUUGAUCACGAGUGUACCUAUAAAUGUCCGAACAAAUAUUCAUAUCCAAAAUAGAUAAUACAAUUUUCAUUUUGGAUAAUGAAUAAUUCUUUGGAAUGCAUUUUAAAUAAAUUUAAUAUAAAUAAAGAUUUACAUGAAUUAUGUAAAGUGAUUUCAACCAAUGAUUUUCAAAUGCAGAUAAAUUUUUACGAACUUAUUGCUUAUUGAUAGCUACUACAAUCACUGACCAGCUCAACAUUUCCGAGCGAACUUCGAUUAAUCAUGCAGCACAAUUCUACUCAAACUGCUGUGUUUUAUUGCAAGACAACACAAUGGCGUGAUGAGCUAUCAGUCAUCCUUGACUUUCAGCAAGUCAGGUUGUACAUUGUCGUGAAACGAUACCACCAACAUCCCAUCGUCAAUAUAUCACACAGUAUAGAGGCAUAUGUGUCAUCGUAGUUGCAUCGUGUUCUACAAUGAUAUAGGGUACAUUACUGCCUUUGUAAUUAAGCGUACAAUAAUACUUCCAUUAAAACAAACGUAUGUAUACAGGGUGAGUCGCCUAAGGCAAGCCACCUGAAUAACUCCUACAUUUGUGGAGAUAGAAAAAAAUGUUUCAGACAAAAAUUGUUUGGUUUCGAUGAGCUCAUUGCGCGGUGUACAUAACUUUUCUUCAGAUGGAGGCGUUUAGGAGAUUUGAAGGUCAACUUAAUUUUUUUAAACGGAAUGGGGUACUUUUUUAUGCAUCAAACGAUGCAGCUAGAUAUUCUUUAUGAAAAAAAGUACUGACCUAUGUAUGUCCUAUGAGCACGAAUCGGUCUGAAAUUUUUUCUGUAGAAUCAUUAAAGAGUUCUCUAAAUACCCUGAAAAUUUCAUGAUGGAACACGCAGAAUUGCCGGAGUUAUAAAAUUUUAUUGCUGCGCCGCUACUCUACAUUUUUUCAAAUAGCCAGCCAUCGGUUAACAACUACGGAAUAAGUCGACACGUUUUUGGUACUUUUGUCUAAAA